rnacentral:misc_RNA from 1 species
UUUCGAAAAUGUACAGAGAGCAGCUGAUUUCAUUCUACGACCGCUACAAUCCAGCAUGCCUGGGUUCUGUUGAUGAAAUUUUGGAAAUAUUUGAAGGUCGCGAAGAAGAACUUUUUCGCGUAUUGGCGGAAAAGUACGGAGCACAAGAACACCUUGCCGACUCACAGGGCAAAAGAUGCGCUUUUUUGUCCUCUGGUGAGUCGGCCCAUUGCCGGGGGAACUGUGAUAGGUCGAACUUAGACAAGCUGAAGAACGUACGUAGCUCGCCGUUGUGUGAUGUUUGUCAGCGUCUUAGUGAAGCUCUGCGUGCGAAAAGUGAAGAAGUGAGGCAAUUGGUGUCGAGGGUUAAAGCUAUGGAAGGCCGGCUCAAAGAGUGCAAUGUUAUGGACGCGUCUGCUGCCGCUCCUGAGGAAAGCGGACGAAGGACCUCAGAGCUAACCUGUGAAAAUCGAGACCUGUCAGAGAAGCUUAGAAGCUGUGAAAAGGAGAACGCCAACCUGAUUGCUAGGAAUCGUGAACUUCGUAAAGAAGUGGUGGUGUUGCAGGCAGAAAAUGAAGCUCUUCGUCGACAGAAGAGGAUGGACGAGGAUACUUUAGAGCAUCUGCGGGAGCUGCUUCGUGAAAGUGAACGGAAAGAGCGCCAUCUCCUGGUGACGGUGGCUGCGAGGGAGCUGGAAGCCGGGCCGCCGUUGCACGAAAGCGAAUUUGAGGAGAUUAUUCGCAGCAGCCAACAGCAGUUGACGGCCUUUUACGAGGAGAAGAUGUGUGCUAUGCAAGCCGAGAUGGAUCGUUUCUACGCUCACGCAUCGGCGUGUAUCCAAGAGAAGGAUGCCAUCAUUGCAGCGUUGAAGGAAGAAGAAAUGUAGAGACAACGGUCUGUGUGGUACAUUAGUGGUGUUGGGGUUUUUUAUUUGCUGAUUCUCUGUGUGCCGGAGGCAGAUAGUGAACAUUUCAAGAAGCGAAUCGUGAACGAUACAAAGGACUUUCAGCCUUCUUGUCAAGGAACGGAUGGACAUCGUCUGUUUUGUUUUCCGCUGUGUCUUAAAGCAAUUUUUGCUGGUACUCUUCCCCUCUCUGUGAGAGACAGCGUUAUCAUCUGCCGUCGCGCUAGUAAGGCUUUCUGCCCACGUUACUCAUGUGUUUUCUCAGUGAUAGCUUUACUUAUUAUUGGAUCUUUUUUUUUCUUUCAUCUACCUUGAAG